UCUACCAUGUUAAGACUGUUUUCAUGUAAGGAGGUGACUUCUAUUGUGUAUUUCUGAUGAAAUCUAUUUCUUACGGUUGGCUUCAUCUGUUUU
rfam:Cucumis sativus cultivar 9930 chromosome 2, whole genome shotgun sequence.